CCGCCAGAAAAUUACGAGCGAAAAGCUUAAAACUCAAAGGACUUGGCGGUGCUCCAUAUCCGACUUAGAGGAGCCUGUCCUAUAAUCGAUAAUCCACGUUAAACCUCACCAUUCAUUGCCUAAAACAGCCUAUAUACCGCCGUCGUCAACUUACCCCAUGAGGGAUCAACAGUAAGUAUAAUAGUUUAAACACUAAAACGUCAGGUCAAGGUGUAGCUUAUAGAAUGGAAGAGAUGGGCUACAUUUUUU
rnacentral:rRNA from 1 species